UACGGAGGGUGCAAGCGUUGUUCGGAAUUAUUGGGCGUAAAGGGCGCGUAGGCGGCGCUGUAAGUCACGUGUGAAAUCCCGGGGCUCAACCCCGGAAGUGCGCGUGAUACUGCAGAGCUUGAGUCCCGGAGAGGGUGGUGGAAUUCCCAGUGUAGAGGUGAAAUUCGUAGAUAUUGGGAGGAAUACCGGUGGCGAAGGCGACCACCUGGACGGUGACUGACGCUGAGGCGCGAAAGCGUGGGGAGCAAACAGG
rnacentral:rRNA from 1 species